UAUCGUUCCUUGGACCUCGUCGGGUGUGGAAUUCAAGCAUGGACAAACGGUCUUCCAUUGCUUGUUUUAUGGUGAUGCUUGUGUUGUUAGGAAGCAGGAUGACUGCAGAGAACUGUGAGAUUAAGCGCGACAGGAUGACAUUAUGUAUAAAGUCUGAAUGCCUCUAUCAUUGCCAACAUCGUUGGUAUUAUAAAAUCACGCAGUAUUGGUGCGAUGGUGUGGUCUUCGGCUUCUGCAACUGCAAGAUUUGCAUCGUCGCAUAGAACUUCAAUGGAUAUUUACUAUGUCAACUGCACUUGAAGCUUUCAUUUAACAAUUGAGAACUUUGUAUCCUGGAGUAACAGAGUUAUGUUUGGAAGCGAUAAUAAUAUGUCUAGUCUCAUAAAAA